rnacentral:rRNA from 1 species
ACUCCUACGGGAGGCAGCAGUGGGGAAUAUUGCACAAUGGGGGAAACCCUGAUGCAGCCAUGCCGCGUGUGUGAAGAAGGCCUUCGGUUGUAAAGCACUUUCAGUAGGGAGGAAGGUAGUGUAGUUAACACCUGCAUUAUUUUGACGUUACCUACAGAAGAAGCACCGGCUAACUCCGUGCCAGCAGCCGCGGUAAUACGGAGGGUGCGAGCGUUAAUCGGAAUUACUGGGCGUAAAGCGCAUGCAGGCGGCCUGUUAAGUCAGAUGUGAAAGCCCGGGGCUCAACCUCGGAAUAGCAUUUGAAACUGGCAGACUAGAGUACUGUAGAGGGGGUAG